rnacentral:rRNA from 1 species
UCCGUAGGUGGAUAAUUAAGUCAGAGGUGAAAGUUUGCAGCUCAACUGUAAAAUUGCCUUUGAUACUGGUUAUCUUGAGUUAUUGUGAAGUAGUUAGAAUAUGUAGUGUAGCGGUGAAAUGCAUAGAUAUUACAUAGAAUACCAAUUGCGAAGGCAGAUUACUAACAAUAUACUGACACUGAUGGACAAAAGCGUGGGUAGCGAACAGGAUUAGAUACCCUGGUAGUCC